rnacentral:lncRNA from 1 species
ACCCUACCUUUCCUUUUCAAGUGACAAUAAGUAAGAAGAAGGGCUAAUUAUAUAAGAGCUAUAGAAACAGUAAUCAUGAGUGUUCAGGAAGAAAAACAAAGUUAAUAUUCAAUUAGAUGAUAAAUAAUUGCUACAUUUCUGGUGUAUUUCUCCUCAUGGAGAAUUUACACUUUGAAAUAUAUUAAUAUGUAGUCAAAAGGAAAGUGGUAGAGAGAGAAACAAGAGGUUAAAUUUACUAAUCAGCAGUAGUUAGUCUGAAGCUAUAUACUUGACUGUCAAUCGCACAACUUCUCUGCCUUUUCCUGCCCUAAGCAACCAGCCAAUCAGGAGCUGUGUGCUGUCUGACAGUUCUGAAAGCAUGAUCUGCUACCAGGGUAACUAUAGAAACAAACUGCACUGGAGCAAGGAGGAGAGAGGAAGGGAGGAGAAAAGGGAGAGUGAAAAUUGAAGGAGAGCACAUUGAUUUUCUAAGUUUGUUCUGUCAUCCAGCCUACCACAAUGGCAUCCAUCGAGCAGAAGGCAGGGUUACCAAGCCAUAACACCACACAUGAGCAGAUACUCAAGGAAGAAGAGUGGGAAUUAAGGAAGAUAGUAUUCAUCCAGCUUUGGAAAAGGUGUGCCAUAAACUGGAGGACAUUUUUGGGUCCUUGCCUUUGAUUGAAGUAUGGUGAGUUUGAAGGCUACUGGCUGCCACAGAGAUGUUAGAGAAAGUUCAGGAUUUUGUUAAACUGCUCAAAAGGUAAAUAGAUUUUAAAAUUCUGUAUUCAAACUGUGCACUAUAGUGGCUAAUAGCUGCUUUUCUUUCUAGAAAUACAAAGCCUCAGGUGCAGCAAAGGUUUUGACACCCAGCUGAAAAUGGAGAUAGAAGGGAAAACCUCAGCUUGAUGAUAAACACAAAAAUCUUCCAGUCCAAUGGCCUGAUUUAAGUCAGCUUCUGUGUUGGGUUUGAAAACCACAUGAGAGCUUGUCUGUAGCAUGCAGAUAAGAACCAUUUAUCUGGAAUGAAUGGCAAAUGAUUAUCAGCAAAUUUAUGAUUGCUGCUGUUGCUUAUUACUCAUUGUUUACUUAUGGACUUAAAUCAUGACAUAUUACCCCCCCCCCAGAAAGACAAUAUGAAAAAUAAACAUUACCUCCUCAUUUUAAAAAUGAGGACA